rnacentral:tRNA from 1 species
GGGCGCGUAGCUCAGCGGUAGAGCACUCGCCUUACAAGCGAGGGGUCGCAGGUUCGACACCUGCCGCGCCCACCC